GGGGGGGACGACCUUUUCUUUCUUUUCCUUUAUUUUUCCUGAUCGUUUUCUAGCAUAAAGAUAUUCAAAGGUUCAAAUAGAAAAAUACUCUAAAGAUACAUUAAGUUUACCUAUAAAAGUAGAGGUUGUCGUAUUUUAGUGUGGGAAAAUUAUAUUUCCUACCUAGGUCUUUGUUUGACUUUCCAGACUUAGGGUCGUGUUUGGUGGUGAAGGGUUAUCUCUCCUCAGCUCGUUUGUCCUCGUUCUCUGCCCUAAAAAAGUAAUUUGGCGUCGAGUUCAUUAUCAACUCCCACUUCCUCUAUCUUUGCAUUUUUGAGAAAGCUGAAAAGGCUUAAUCCCAUCUUUCCGAGUCAAUCCAUAAAAUUCGCUGGACAGAUUUUGAAUCGAAAUUAACAUGAGAAGCCAAGGACACGGAGGAGUUAAAUUUGAAGACCCUUUUAUUUUUCUUAUUUUGUAUUUUUAUUUGCAACGGUCAUAAGCCCUUGUCGCCUUUUACUUCUCCAUAUUUACCUUUUUUAUAGCAUGUUUAGUCUAGGACAGGUGUAAAAAGAAAAUGGGUCGAAACCACCCCCCCCCCCCCAAAAAAAAAAGGUCAACCCAAAGCUGGUGGGUUCAAUUCCCGGCCAAGGUGGACAGAACCCGGGAUUGGACCCAAAAAUCUCUCUCUCUCCCUCUCUUAUACCUUAUUAUCUAUGUGAUUUCGUUUAUUUGUCCUUAGCUUAGAGUUAGAAAAACUCCAAACCCCGUUGAACGCCAAAA